GAACCUGAAACACAGGGCCCCAGAGAGACGUGACACCUCCAACCCAAUCCCAUAACUCACCCUUACCUUUCACGGUAGGCAACAAGAAAUUGAAGAGGCCGGUAAAAAGGAGACUCGAUUCAGACAGACCUGGGUUCAAAUGCCACCCUACUCGCUGAUACUUGUUUCAGGUGAACGAGUGGGUACUACCCUUCACUGUGGGACUGCUGUGGCUUAGAGAUGACAGGCCCUUACCUGGCACAGUGCCACCCAGCAAAUACAAGGUGCCCCCUUGGACCUCGGGUGCUGGACUCCACACUACUCUUGGGCUCCUUCCUGCCUCUGCUCCCAAAGAGGGAGGCAGGUUCAACUUGAGUGUGAGAGAAGUGUCCUGUGCCCACCACCAGAGGACUGGCCAGGCGUCAGCAGUGACAAUGUGGACUUGGCUAUGGUUGGAUCUUAUGAGACCACUCGCUGGGCAAGGAAGACUUCAUUUUCCCCACUUGUCAGGAAACGCCAGCUCCUCUGCCACCACGUAUGAGAAGCAACCCAAACAGGAGGUGUUGUCAUUGGCUCUGUUUUACAUAUGGGAAAACUGAGGCACAGAGGUUAAGGGACUUGCUCAAAUCAUACAAGCCAGUAAGCAAUGUGACUGGGACUCUCGGCCAGGCUGGUGGGCUCCACUGCCUGCUCAUAACACUACCCGAUAACUGCUCCUGAAGUUGCUGAAUGUCAAAAAUGAUUUUUUGACAUCCCAUCUAAUCUGGGGACCUUAUGAACAUCUGUAAAAAACAGUUCCCGUAUACUUUUUAGGACCCAACAUUUUCCCACUUUAGCCAGACAAUGCUGAAAGCAAUCACUUUUGAAAGCAAAUUAGAGAAAGAUCUAGUAAGCACUAUAGGUAUUUUCCAACAUAAGAACAUGAAUCAAUCCUCAGGAAAUAACAGAACCUGCCACCCUCUCCCCAUUCUGCACCCAGUUUUAAGAGUCUCAUCUAAAGGCUGAAAGGUGCUGUAGGAAUCUCACUGGUCAGAACUCCGUGAUCUACUAUUCAACGAUAUUUACUGAGCCCAUGCCAGGCUUUAGCCUCUAAAGAAA